rnacentral:rRNA from 1 species
GUAAGCUACUAAGAGCUGUACGGUGGAUGCCUCGGUUUCGACCGGCGAUGAAGGACGUAGCAAGCUGCGAUAAGCUUCGGGGAGCCGCAAGCAGGCGUUGAUCCGGAGAUGUCCGAAUGGGGCAACCCGCUGCCGUUGAUCCGGCAGCAUCCCACACCCAAUGCAUAAGUGUGGGACGCCACACACGGUGAAGUGAAACAUCUCAGUAACCGUGGAAAAAAAAUCAACCGAGAUUGCCCAAGUAGCGGCGAGCGAACGGGCAACAGCCUAAACCUUGUUGGUGUGAUAGCAGUCACGCGUUGCCAGCAGGGUGUUGCAGGGCUGUCUCAGAAUGCUGUGACUAGCACUCGCUUCAUGACGACAGGUAGCCAAAGGGCCUGGAACGGCCCACCAUAGAAGGUGAUAGUCCUGUAGGUAAAACCUGCGUGUCGUGGAGUGGAGACAGUUCCUAAGUACCAUGAGACACGUGGAACCUCAUGGGAAUCUGGGGGGACCACCCUCCAAGGCUAAAUACGUGUCGAAACCCGAUAGUGUACGAGUACCGCGAGGGAAAGGUGAAAAGAACCCCGGGAGGGGAGUGAAAUAGAACCUGAAACCGACAGCUUACACAGCAGUCCGAGCCGGCCGUAAGGUCCGGUGAGGGCGUGCCUUUUGCAUAAUGAUCCGGCGAGUUAUUCGGCCACGCAAGUCUAACCUGGUGACCCCAGGGAAGGCGUAGCGAAAGCGAGUCCUAAAUGGGCGCCAAUAAGCGUGUUCGAAUAGACCCGAAGCUAGGUGAUCUAGCCAUGGCCAGGGCGAACACCGCGUAACAGCGGUGGGAGGCCCGAACUCAUCAGUGUUGAAAAACUGUGGGAUGAGCUGUGGAUAGGGGCGAAAGACCAAUCAAACCUAGUGAUAGCUGGUUCUCCCCGAAAUAACUCUAGGGUUAGCCUUGGAAGUUCCGACGUGGGGGUAGAGCACUGGAUGGGCUAAGGACCACACCAGGUUACUGAACCCAACCAAACUCCGAAUACCACGGCGCCAUAUUCCAGGAGUCAGCCCGUGCGGGAUAAACUGCACGGACGCGAGGGAAACAACCCAGACCGUCGGCUAAGGUCCCAAAGGGUGUGCUAAGUGUUAAAGGAUGUUGGGUUGCAUAGACAACCGGGAUGUUGGCUCAGAGGCAGCCAUCAUUUAAAGAGUGCGUAACAGCUCACCGGUCGAGCGAUCCAGCGCCGACAAUGAUAGGGGCUCAAGCACAUCACCGAAGCCGCGGAUGGUCUUGGCAUUCGUGCCAGGAUCGUGGUAGGGGAGCGUUCCGCGUUAGGUUGAAGGCGACGCUGUUAGGCGCGCUGGACGAAGCGGAAGUGAGAAUGCCGGUAUGAGUAGCGAUAAGCACCGCGAGAAACGGUGCCGCCGUAAGCCUCAGGGUUCCUGGGGAAGGUUAAUCCACCCAGGGUGAGUCGGUCCUAAGCUUAGGCCGAAAGGCGUCAGCGAUGGACAUGCCGUUAACAUUCGGCAACCACUGGGCAGGCGUUUGACUGACGUUGAGGACGCAGGAAGCUAGGCCAUCCGGGUAUUGGACGUCCCGGUCCCGGCAUACAGCCGUAAGGCAAGGUGCCGGGGGAGACGAGGCGACAGCCGAGUUAAACUGGUUGAGGCUAUGCUGCCAAGAAAAUUCAUCGUCGGAAGUCUGUUCAGUGCCCGUACCGUAACCCGACACAGGUAGGCGGGGAGAAAAUCCCAAGGCGUUCGAGAGAACCCCCCUUAAGGAACUCGGCAAACUCGCCCCGUAACUUCGGGAUAAGGGGUGGUCGCCGGGGUGUCAAAGCCCUGGUGACCCACAGUAAAGAGGAUCAGCCGACUGUUUAGUAAAAACACAGGUCACUGCAAAGUCGUAUUGACGACGUAUAGUGACUGACACCUGCCCAAUGCUGGAAGGUCAAGAGGAGGCGUCAUCCGUAAGGUGAAGCGCCGAAUUCAAGCCCCAGUGAAUGGCGGCCGUAACUAUAACGGUCCUAAGGUAGCGAAAUUCCUUGUCGGGUAAGUUCCGACGCGCACGAAUGGUGUAACGAGCUGAUCGCUGUCUCGAG